rnacentral:snRNA from 1 species
AGAUGUGAGGGCGAUCUGGCUGCGACAUCUGUCACCCCAUUGAUCGCCAGGGUUGAUUCGGCUGAUCUGGCUGGCUAGGUAGGUGUUCCCCUCCUCCCUCAUUGCUCCAUGUACAUCAUUCCCAGAAGCUACACACUGGAUCAAAGAAGAUGGCCUUCCCCGAAUAGAUUUGGGACCUCUUCAGUCCAGUGUAUACGAAUAGCUGUGCUUCACUGCUAGAAUGUUCAAACAAACUUUCAGGGCCCAUUUGUAGGAGAACAUAGGGUAUUCAAGCUUCCGAGACUUCAGACACAUCCAAAUGAGGUGCUGCAUAUGGCAGUCUACCUUUCUUA